ACGCAGCAGCACCAAUGACUCAGACACCGGAAGUCAGCGAGCAGCAGAGCAGGCUGCAGAGUCAUUCAUUGAGGAAGUAAGACCUGACUUUAUACCCCCUCCCAAGGUCCCAUUGGCUCAGGCGCUGACUCUGCUGUGUGUCCUUUCCUCAUUGGUGUUUCUGGUCAGGUGUCCCUGUCAGCAUCUCUGGGCAUAGAGUCAGGCUUGGCUCAGGAGGAAGUGCCUGCUGCGCAUGCUCAGGCUGGCUGACCUGGGUACCAGGGGUAGGGCGUGGCUUGGGUUGCUGGCUGCAGUUUCUUCUACAACCGACCUUACCCAAAUUUGCAUGCUGUAUCUUGGGCUUAAGGACAUCUUUUUCUUGGAUAAUUGUUUUGAACCUUGUCUGGUUUUGCUGUCUGACGUCAGGAAUUAUUCCAAAAUCCACGCGGUGAAAGGGGAGGACCAAUACCCGUGUUCGUCAGCUGUCUUCUGAGAUCCACAUGCUGUGACACAGGAACUACCUCUCCCUGGAAAUGAAAUGAAUGUAAUAAAAAAAUAGAAAA